rnacentral:rRNA from 1 species
UACGUAGGUGGCAAGCGUUGUCCGGAUUUAUUGGGUUUAAAGGGUGCGUUAGGCGGUCUUCUAAGUCAGUUGUGAAAUACUUCAGCUUAACUGGAGAGGUGCAAUUGAUACUGGAAGACUUGAGUACUGAUGAGGUAGGCGGAAUGGACGGUGUAGCGGUGAAAUGCUUAGGAUAAUCGUCCAGAACACCGAUAGCGAAGGCAGCCUUACUAAGGAGUAAACGUGACGCUUGAAGG